AUACGUAGGGGGCGAGCGUUGUCCGGAAUGAUUGGGCGUAAAGGGCGCGUAGGCGGCGCGGUAAGUCUGGAGUGAAAGUCCUGCUUUCAAGGUGGGAAUUGCUUUGGAUACUGCCGCGCUUGAGUGCAGGAGAGGUUAUCGGAAUUCCCGGUGUAGCGGUAAAAUGCGUAGAGAUCGGGAGGAACACCAGUGGCGAAGGCGGGUAACUGGACUGCAACUGACGCUGAGGCGCGAAAGUGUGGGGAGCAAACAGGAUUAGAUACCCUGGUAGUCCACACUGUAAACGUUGAGUGCUAGGUGUAAGAGGUAGCGACCACUUUUGUGCCGGAGUCAACACAAUAAGCAUUCCGCCUGGGGAGUACGGCCGCAAGGUUGAAACUCAAAUGAAUUGACGGGG
rnacentral:rRNA from 1 species